rnacentral:sRNA from 1 species
ACCACGUUGUGUGUGAGGAUGAGUUCAAGUACGCCCUGUUGGCCAACAACUGCCUGUGUCCGGGCAUCUCCACCUUUGUCACACUGCUGCUGCACACCUCCAGGGGAAGAGAAGGUCAAACUUCAUCGGAGGAGUGGCAGCGGCUGUACGGAAAAUGUUCGGGAAAUGAGAUCUACCACAUCCGGCUUGGUGACAGCAAUUUCUUUGGUGACUAUGAAGGGAAGAGCUUCACAUACGCUUCUUUCCACGCUCAUCGAAAGUAUGGAGUGAGUUUGGUAGGGGUACAGCGAGAUUUGCCUGGCAGCACGAUACAGCUGAAUCCCGGCCCACGGCACAUCAUGAGGAAAGCAGACAUUUGUUUUUAUAUGAAUAUAACGAAGGAAGAAAACUCGGCCUUCAUCCUGGCUCAUCCGAACCGAGAUCCGUCUGCGGUGGAGAGGGCAAGGUUACCACAGGGUACAGAGAAGGCUUCACGAGUUGCCAGUAUGAUUGCUAGUGUGGGCACUGUGGCUUUGGAGCUUCAGCACACACGAGUGUCUACCUUCAGCUCCGACACGAACCUCAUUACAAGAACGGGAAGCAGGUCUAGGAAUCUCAGCCUGCCAAAGGGUCUUAACAUCCAGAGUUUACAAAAGAGGCCGAGUAUAGCGCCUGUGCCUGCCACUCUGGAGGCAAACAACAUCCACAUCAACAUCACCGGCUCCGACACGGAGGACGAGGAAGAGGAACCCUGUGAUAUGGAGCCUGAUGAUUUUGUUGAAUAUGUCCGUGGCUUCCCUCCUGUGACUCCGUAUGUCGGCACGAGCCCGACUCUAUGUCAUCUGAUGAGAGAGAAGAGACCCAUGUGUUGCCUUCAGCUUUCUACAGAGUGCUCCCACUGCCCCCACCGCAACGCCCGGGAGUACAACUGGUCCAACCCCGCCAUUAUCGUUGCCGCCGACUACGCCAGCUCGGGUCUCUACAACUUCAUUGUGCCUUUAAGAUCUCACGUUCGCCCCAAGAAGUCCCUCAGUCCCAUCGUUCUUCUCUUAACCAAACCGCCUGACAGUGGUUUCUUGGCCUUGAUCAGUUAUUUCCCUCUAGUCUUCUGGAUGAGAGGUUCUAUUGACUGCAUCGAAGACCUGUUGAAGGCGGGGAUCCACAUAACGGACAACGUGGUGGUUGUGAACAAAGAGACGUCCAACGCUAAAGACGAGGACACUCUGGCCGACUGUAACACCAUUGUGUCAGUUCAGACAAUAUUCAGGUUGUUUCCAAAAGCAAAUAUCAUCACGGAAAUCUCUGCUGCCCCCAAUAUGAGAUUUAUGCAGUUCAGGCCUGAUGACUUGUACGCCUUAUCAAUUUCUAAACAAGAAAAGAAAGAGCGGGAACGAGGCUCCAACAUCUACUACAUGUUCCGUCUGCCUUUUGCUGCGGGCAAUGUGUUCAGUGCCAGCAUGCUUGAUGCUCUGCUCUACCAGGCAUUUGUCAAAGACUACCUUAUAACCUUUGUGAGGCUUCUGCUGGGUAUCGACAUGGCUGUGGGGUCCGGUCACUUAGGAUGUGUAAAAGUUGGCAAAGACGACCUGUGGAUUCGAACCUACGGCCGUCUGUACCAGAAGCUAUGCUCACAAGCAUGUGAGAUACCGAUUGGGAUCUACCGCACACAGCCACAUGUCGGUACAGAAUCUGUCUCUCCGCCGAAAUCUCGAUGGGGCAAGCAGCCUAGCUCUGGAAUGUCCCUGGCAGCGCAUGUCGAGGACACUGGGGAUGGCGGCAAGUUCACGCCAGAGAGACAGGAGAUCAUCCAGAUGGUCAAGUGUCGUAUGCAGAGUCAGGGGCUGCCAUUGGACGAUUACCAUAAAAAUGAAGUGAGCGAUCGCCGUUCCACCAUCUCCUAUGUGAUCAUCAACCCAAGCUAUGAUCUGAAGCUGGAGCCUGGGGACAUUGUGUACGUUAUCCGCCCAAGUUCCCUGUCCCCUCAACCUUCUCCUCUGACCGAUGAGAGAAAGCUGCUGGGUCAGGAGAAACGCCAGGAGCCCCCUGGUGCCGAUACAGACCGCUAUAAGGACGUAGCGGUCAGUGACGAGGAAAAUGAUGAAAGUUGUGAUGAUAAUCUCGUCUCCAAAGCUUCUCAGG